CCUACGGGAGGCCGCAGUAGGGAAUUUUGCGCACUGGGCGCAAGCCUGACGCAGCAACGCCGCGUGUUUGAUUAAGCCCUUCGGGGUGUACAGUUCUGUCAGUGGGGACGAAACUUGUCGGUACCCACAAAGGAAGCACCGGCUAACUCCGUGCCAGCAGCAGCGGUAAUACGGAGGGGACACGCGUUGUUCGGAAUCAUUGGGCGUAAUGUGUUCGUAGUUGGCAUGUUAAGACAGAUGUGAAAUGCAUUGGCUCAACUUCGGUUCGGUACGUGAUACUGGUAAGCUUGAUUGCAGUAGAGGUAAAGAGAAUUCCUGGUGUAGCGGUGAAAUGCGUAGAGAUCAGGAGGAAUAUCGGUGGCGAAGGCGCUUUCCUGGACCGUGAUUGACACUGAGGAGCGAAAGCCGGGGGAGCAAAUGGGAUUAGAUACCCGGGUAGUC
rnacentral:rRNA from 1 species